GAUGAACGCUGGCGGCGUGCCUAAUACAUGCAAGUCGAGCGAACAGACGAGGAGCUUGCUCCUCUGACGUUAGCGGCGGACGGGUGAGUAACACGUGGAUAACCUACCUAUAAGACUGGGAUAACUUCGGGAAACCGGAGCUAAUACCGGAUAAUAUAUUGAACCGCAUGGUUCAAUAGUGAAAGACGGUUUUGCUGUCACUUAUAGAUUGAUCCGCGCCGCAUUAGCUAGUUGGUAAGGUAACGGCUUACCAAGGCAACGAUGCGUAGCCGACCUGAGAGGGUGAUCGGCCACACUGGAACUGAGACACGGUCCAGACUCCUACGGGAGGCAGCAGUAGGGAAUCUUCCGCAAUGGGCGAAAGCUUGACGGAGCAACGCCGCGUGAGGGAUGAAGGUCUUCGGAUCGUAAAACGCUGUUAUUAGGGAAGAACAAAUGUGUAAGUAACUAGGAACGUCUUGACGGUACCUAAUCAGAAAGCCACGGCUAACUACGUG
rnacentral:rRNA from 1 species